GACUCUCGGCAACGGAUAUCUCGGCUCUCGCAUCGAUGAAGAACGUAGCGAAAUGCGAUACUUGGUGUGAAUUGCAGAAUCCCGUGAACCAUCGAGUCUUUGAACGCAAGUUGCGCCCCAAGCCUUCUGGCUGAGGGCACGUCUGCCUGGGUGUCA
rfam:Arabis alpina cultivar Pajares chromosome 2, whole genome shotgun sequence.